ensembl:lncRNA
AGCUUUAAAGUGCACAUGAAUCUUGUUAACAUGCAGAUCUGGUUCAGUGGGUCUGGGGUGGGACCUCAGAGUCUGCAUUCCUAACAAGAUCCUGGGAGAUACCAAUGCUGCUCCUGCGCAAACCACGCUCACAGGGAAAGCAAGCAGCCAGCAAACAGCUCACUUGUGCUGUUUUGUCAAGAAUGGACCUCAGAGGUUGUGUUUGAGAAGCUUGGCACACUGGUCCCUGCUAGACAGCUAACACACCCGGUUAUCUUAUCUGUGGCUGAUAAUGACUUACUGUCCUGCUGCUCCCAGAUGUCAACAAGGGCGCCUCCUAUAAUCUCAAUGGGAAUACUUGGAAAGAGUGUCUCAAAAUCCCACUGCAUACAGCACGGCUGACCAGCAGGCAGAGAGGAUUUUUCAGCACAUACUCUUAUUAUCUCCCCACAAGUUUGGAAAUAGAUUUUGUGAUUGCACCUGACAAACACGGAGAUGAGGAUGCAGAAGAGAAAGUUGAGCACCAGUCAAGGUUACACAGGCGUGAGUGCCAGGUGGGUUCUCCUGGCAUCCAACACAGCUUCGGAGAAGCACAAGCGGGAAGCAAGGGACCCGUGAUGCAGGCCUGCAGCGAAGCCCUGGCCAGCCUGCCUCUCCACGGAGCUGGUUGAAGUCUGCAGAGAACUGGGCACCGCAGCUGUGCGUGGCACGAGAGGACAGUCUGAGAAGACCUGAAGUGAUGUACAAGAGGUGUUCAAUACAUGGUGCGUGUCACACUGUAAGAGCUCAAUAAAUAUUUGUUCACUGAAAAGACCCCAGGUGACUGGAUCACGGAACUGAAGAGUUGGAGGAGGCCGUGGAAAUCAGCUCAUCCAGCCUCCCACCUGGUGUAGGUUUUCCUUCUGAAGGAGCCAGGCAGAUGCUUCCCGAAAAGGGGAGCUCACCCACUGCUUGUAGGGAGUCCUUUUUGUGUGUAGGGACUUCUACCUCUGGGAUGUUUCCCUCACAUGGACAGAAAUCUAUCUCCCUGGACAUUCUACCAUCAGUUCCAGUUCAGCCCCCAACAACAUAACACAGCCACUUCCUUUGCCAAAUAGCACCUGGAAAUGAGGUUUGCACGUGAAGGCAGCAUUUAAACAGGAAGCUGAGAGUCUUUAGUUCAGUGUCCUCCAACUUAAGUCUGGGUUGGCCAGCAUGGCCUGAGACUGGGUUUAACGCUACCCUACUUCACCCCACCCCAGGCACAGGUUCCCACAACCUGAGCAGCGCCUGUCCUGUUAGGGAGGGAGGCGAUUCACAUCCAACUGGGAGGAGCGGCCUUAUACGCUUAGAAAAGCAACUCUGUCAAAAUUGACACCUUCUGUCAUCCUCCCAUGUCGAGCACCCUGUCCUAGGAUGGUCACCCCUGAGCAUCCUUCCUGAGUGGUACAUUCUUGAGAAACUGAACCAUGGCCAGAGGCAGCCAACCCAGCGCCGUACCUUGGACUUCUGAAGAUAGUGACCAAGUCUCUUCAGAGACAUUUCAGCUCCUUCUGAUGAGAUGGCACCUUGACAUGCUGGCCGCCUUCCUCUUGAUACUUCCCAGUUUAUCAUCAAACUGUAACUCUCUUAAAAGGCUGAGUCCAUCCUGAAAACAGUACUCCACAUAGGGCCAGGCCGGCUCUGGGCACAGCGAAGCUCUGAUUCACGCUUGCACACAUUUGCUCAUGGUAGAUGAACAGGGAGGAGAAAUCCUGCGUGCAGUUAAUGUUGGAAAACUUGACAGAAUGAAAUAACUUGUAGAGAGAUGAGAAGUACCUUUCCUGCAUUAAUACAAACAAAUAUUGGGGAGAGGGGCCCUGCUACAAAGACCCAUCAACUGGCAGGUAGUCAAAAAGCCUGCUGGGAAUAGGGGACUAAAAAAAGGCAGAGCUACAAGGAUCCCCCCAGGUCAUCAAUUCCUUACACAUUUCUGUAUUAUUAUUCUGUGACACUGUUGUGCCACGAUUUCUACACAUUUCCCUAAAAUGCUAUGAGCAAACUGAGGGCAAGGACCAGCCUUGAGCACUGUUCCUAGUGCCUCGUUGGUGUCCAGUAGUUUUUAAUUGAAGCAGAACAUGAUAGCGCUCUACCCCAGGCCCCAAGCCCAGGUUAGGAUCACCCAGUCUCCCUUCCACUCCUAGCUCUCCGCCUGCCUGUGGUCCUGCUCUUUAAGCCUGCCUUUGGCUUUCAUUUCAGCCAGAUUCUUUGCAAAACCCUUUCGUUUUCUGUACUCUUCCAUUUGAGAAUUAACCCUUCACUUGGCAAAGAACUAAGUCUACUCUAAGUUACCUGGACAAAGGGUACCCACAGCCCUCCUGGAACCUGGCUAUUAAGACAGUGACAUUCUACUGGGGGCGAUAUUAGCAAACUCCAUCACCCCCCAACCCCCAUUACCACCCAUAAGCCCCCGGUAGUUGGCAGAGAAACCUAACUGCUUC